CGGAGUGUAGCGCAGCCUGGUAGCGCACCUCGUUCGGGACGAGGGUCGCAGGUUCAAAUCCUGCCACUCCGACCA
rnacentral:tRNA from 1 species